AGGAGUUUGAUCCUGCUCAGAAUCAACGCUGGCGGCGCGCCUAACACAUGCAAGUCGAACGAGAAAAGUGGAGCAAUCCAUGAGUAAAGUGGCGUACGGGUGAGUAACACGUGGAUAAUCUACCCUCUAGUGGGGAAUACCGCUGGGAAACCGGCGACAAUACCGCAUAAGCUCGAGAGAGGAAAGCAGCAAUGCGCUGGAGGAGGAGUCCGCGGUCGAUUAGUUAGUUGGCGGGGUAAAGGCCCACCAAGACUGUGAUCGAUAGCCGGCCUGAGAGGGCACACGGCCACACUGGCACUGAAACACGGGCCAGACUCCUACGGGAGGCAGCAGUGGGGAAUCUUGCACAAUGGGGGAGACCCUGAUGCAGCGACGCCGCGUGAGCGAUGAAGCCCCUCGGGGUGUAAAGCUCUUUCGGCAGGGAAGAUAAUGACGGUACCUGCAAAAGCAGCUGCGGCUAACUACGUGCCAGCAGCCGCGGUAAUACGUAGGCAGCAAGCGUUGUCGGAGUUACUGGGCGUAAAGGGUGCGUAGGCGGCUUUUUAAGUUUGGUGUGAAAUCUCCCGGCUCAACUGGGAGGGUGCGCCGAAUACUGAGAGGCUAGAGUGUGGGAGAGGAAAGUGGAAUUCCUGGUGUAGCGGUGAAAUGCGUAGAUAUCAGAGGAACACCGGGGUGUAAACGGUUUCUGGACCAUAACUGACGCUGAGGCACGAAA
rnacentral:rRNA from 1 species